AUGAUUCUUCAGAGGAUCUUCAGGUUCUCCUCUGUCACUUGGUCAGCAGGCUCAGUCCACUUGCGAAGGAACGUUGGUGUUACUGCGGUGGCUUUUUAAGAACUUGAUCCUCUACAGAAACUCUUUAUGGACAAGAUUAGAGAAUACAAAUCUAAGCGACAGACAUCUGGAGGACCUGUUGAUACCAGUCCACAGUAUCAGCAAGUGCUGGAGAGGGAGCUUUUAAGCUUGAGCAAAUAUAUGAUAAAGUAGACAUGAAUAGGUUCCCCACUUCAAAUUUGAAGAUCCCAAAUUUGAAGUCAUUGAAAAACCCCAGGCCUGA
rnacentral:lncRNA from 1 species